rnacentral:rRNA from 1 species
UACAGAGGGUGCAAGCGUUAAUCGGAUUUACUGGGCGUAAAGGGCGCGUAGGUGGUAAAGCAAGUAAGAUGUGAAAGCCCUGGGCUUAACCUGGGAAGUGCAUCUUAAACUGCUUAACUAGAGUAUGGUAGAGGGUAGUGGAAUUUCCGGUGUAGCGGUGAAAUGCGUAGAGAUCGGAAGGAACGCCAGUGGUGAAGACGACUACCUGGACCAAUACUGACACUGAGGCGCGAAAGCGUGGGGGAUCAAACAGG